CCUACGGGAGGCAGCAGUGAGGAAUAUUGCACAAUGGACGAAACCCUGAUCCAGCGACGCCGCGUGAACGAUGAAGUAUUUCGGUAUGUAAAGCUCCAUCAGCAGGGAAGAAAAUGACGGUACCUGACUAAGAAGCCCCGGCUAACUACGUGCCAGCAGCCGCGGUAAUCCGUAGGGGGCAAGCGUUAUCCGGAUUUACUGGGUGUAAAGGGAGCGUAGACGGCGAUGCAAGCCAGAUGUGAAAGCCCGGGGCUCAACCCCGGGAUUGCAUUUGGAACUGUAUAGCUGGAGUGUCGGAGAGGAAGGCGGAAUUCCUGGUGUAGCGGUGAAAUGCGUAGAUAGUAGGAGGAACUCCAGUGGCGAAGGCGGCCUGCUGGAGGAUGACUGACGUUGAGGCUCGAAAGCGUGGGGAGCAAACAGGAUUAGAUACCCGUGUAGUC
rnacentral:rRNA from 1 species